AUGUUCCAGAGCUUGAGUGGCCUUGCUGUGGGGCAGAGAGGGGAGGGAGCAGAGAGGAAGAAAGGGGCUGUUUCUCUCCCUCCAGCUGGUAUGAGGAGCCUUGGGUCUGGGGACUGGAGAGCAGCCCUUUGGAGCAGCAGAGACCAGGGAGAAUCUUGGAAAUUUAAAUAUUUAGAAGAGACCGUUUAGAACCCAGGAACUCCUGCAUGAGCCGGGGAGGCCUUGGAGCUAAUGACAACCUGUCUAAUCUAAUGGUUCAACUAUUGUCAUUCAUACCUACAAACUGGGGGACCUGAAGAUGGACAGACACAUCCUGUGAGAUUUCACUAUCGGGUCCUUGCAGCAGCCAUGAUGGUCUAAAAUCACGAUGGUCUUCACAGCUUUGAACCUUAAGUGAGGAUUCCUGGGUCAGGAGGAUGACCAAUAACUUUUUGAGAUUUGCUCUCCGGAUACUGUGCUUCUAGGGGAGGAAGUCAAUAGUAUAGCCUCGGGAAAUACGGAAUCAUGAUGCCUUUGACAAAAAUGGCCAUAGCUGGCAGAGAGAUCGGUCCAGCUGGGCUAUGUAACUCAAGUGAAGAUCAUCCAUCAGGUGGACAGAUACAGACAUGGAGGAAUGAGGGAUGUGACCUUUUCUCUGGAACACUACUUCUCGGGAGGAUAUAAGGCUACAGAUAAAAAAAUGGAAAUGGACAUUUUGACCAACCCAGUAGUUUUCUGGGUGACAUGAUGGAUGUGGUAUCUAAGGAGGAGCAGCAUAUCAGAACAUGGAGUGGUUUGCAAGGAGCUCAUGAAAUCACUGGGGAGAAGGGGCUGAAAGUGAAGACAAGGCAACAAUAAAGAAUGCCACCAUUUCCUGAUGUCUCUGACUUUUUGGCUCCCCUACUAACACAUGUUUCAGCUAUUGUAAAACACUGAACAGCAUAGAUUGUGCUCACCCUAACACUACCCAUUUCCUUCUUAUUUAGCCAAAGGAACUAGGCUAGACCCCAUUUGUGAGGCACUUUAAGAGGUUUGGGUAAUUUGAGCAGCUGGGAGGAGAUUAUUUUGAGAGUCAGGAAAGCAAAUGAAUAAUACCCAUGAUAUCUGGAGUGGGUGUCAUUUGCUGCUUGAUCAUGCAUCAUACUGACCUGAAGGCUCAUUUCACCUGGCUGUAAUUCAGGCUUAGCCAUCAUUUUGAUGAACACACCCCAUGGCCAUGAGCAUGUUUCCUGUCUCUAAGUAUGGCAGGGUGAUCUGACACCUGACUUUCCAAUUGCUUCUUCCACUUACAUUUUGGAUCUUAAUGCAAUCCCACUACACAGAUGGUCAUUUUGAAUGAUUCAUGCUUUUAAUUUUUCUCAAAGAUUCCAAUGUACUUUGACAUUGGUAGUUCCAUAAAUCAAGGAAAUACAUAGAAAAAUUAGUUCAAGCAGCAAUAAAAUAUUUCUUUGAACUUCAAAGAGUGGUUUAGUAACUUCCUAGCCAAUCCAAUACAGAAAAUAAUAUUCUUAUUAGAAAAAGGAAAAAUAAUGACAUAUAUAGUGCUUUUAUUUAGAUACUGUAGUCUCUGAAAUUUUCUGUAAUAGGGACAACAACAGAAUAAGCAUGCUUUUGGUGUAUAUACUGCUAAACCCUAAAAAUCAAUGAGCAGUAUUAUUGCCAAGAGUAAUUAAGUUAUUCGGACUUAGACCAUAUGGAAUACUGUUAUAAUUGCUUUAAUGUUUUCCCCCCUAAAGUUCUAUCAUCUAUGCCAUUUUGGAGGCUAUUUCUAUUAAAUGAUUUUUUUCUUCAUUAUGGAUCAUGUUUUCCAGCUCUUUGCAUAUCUAUAAUUUUUUUAUUAAAUGUCAGACUUGAAUUUUAUGUUGCUGAAUGCAAUAUUAUUGUUCACUUUUGAAUAUUCUUGAGCUUUACUCUGCAAAGCUUUACUUUGCAGUUAUCUGGAAAGAGUUUGACUCUCCAAAGUGUUUCUUUUAAGCUUAGUGAAGUGAGAUCAGAGUAGCCUUUAAAUGUAAGGCUAAAUGUCCCCACUGCCUAGAUAAUAGUUUUCCUAAUGUCUUUCAUAUCAUGAAUUUUAUUCUCCUCUGGAUGCUGGGAAUAUGAACUAUUUUUAAGUCCAUGGGAGCUCUGGAUAUUGUUCAGCCUGCCCUUUCUUGGUGCUUUAGGUGGUUUCCUCACACAUAGGUGCCCAUGAGCACCCAGGUGAAAACCCUAGGGAAUCUCCACUAAUCUCUCCCUCUCUCUUUCUCCCCCUGUCUCUGUCUCUCUUUGCACCACGGCCUGGAAACACUGAAUGCAGUAAGCUGGGAAAUUCUGGGGCUUACUUUGUUUCCCAUAGCUCCGAGAUCAAUUUCUCAUGCUGUCUGCUGUUCAAUGUCUAAAACCUGUUGUUUCACCUAUCUGGACUGGUGUUCCGGUUGUCCAAAGAUGGGGUGUAAAUUUGGUUCUGUUUACCUGGCUUGGUACAUUUUAAA